rnacentral:rRNA from 1 species
GAUGAACGCUGGCGGCGUGCCUAAUACAUGCAAGUCGAGCGAACAGACGAGGAGCUUGCUCCUCUGACGUUAGCGGCGGACGGGUGAGUAACACGUGGAUAACCUACCUAUAAGACUGGGAUAACUUCGGGAAACCGGAGCUAAUACCGGAUAAUAUAUUUAACCGCAUGGUUCAAUAGUGAAAGACGCUUUUGCUGUCACUUAUAGUUGGAUCCGCGCCGCAUUAGCUAGUUGGUAAGGUAAAGGCUUACCAAGGCAACGAUGCGUAGCCGGCCUGAGAGGGUGAACGGACACACUGGAACUGAGACACGGUCCAGACUCCUACGGGAGGCAGCAGUAGAGAAUCUUCCGCAAUGGGCGAAAGCUUGACGGAGCAACGCCGCGUGAGUGAUGAAGGUUGUCGAAUCGUAAAACUCUGUUAUUAAGGAAGAACAAAUGUGUAAGUAACUAUGCACGUCUUGACGGUACCUAAUCAGAAAGCCACGGCUAACUACGUG